rnacentral:pre_miRNA from 1 species
UGUUAAAAAUUUCAUUUAUUUGUACCAUCAAAAAUUGGUUGGUUUGGCCGACGGAAUAACUAAACAGUGACAUGCAACAUGCCAUGUGGUAAUGUUGGCAUUCAAGGACCAAUUUUUAACUAUAGAGAUUAUGAAAUUUUUAAUA